rnacentral:rRNA from 1 species
CUUGCCACAAGGGCACAGCACUUUGGUUCUAUAGAACCAAAGGUUUAUUUUUUUUUUAAAACAGAUCUACACAGGCGUUGCAUGGCUGUCGUCAGUCCGUGGUGCUAUACCGUUUUCGCACAAUUUUGUGCUUCUUACGGACAUCUCCCCUACCAGAAUUCCAAUAAAAUUUUUUUUGCUUCUGGAGUGUAAAGCUUUCUAUAGUUUUGCCUUAAUUUGGGUCCACGUCUAGUCAUCAUGGCCCACAUAUAUUGGGAUACACCUGUGUUACAAUGGAAUAUACAHUUUGUUGCUACGUUUUAUAAAAAUAUAAAAUCUUCGCAAAUAUAGAAAAUAUUCCAUAAUUCAGAUCAUACCCUGCAACUCGGGUAUGUGAAGCCGGAAUCAUUUGUAAUCGUGGAUUAGCCUGCCACGGUGAAAUUUAGAAGUUUCUCUAGAGUACACACCGCCCGUCACAUUGGAAAAAUUGUAUGGACUAGAAAAGGGAAGAGGCUUUUUUUAUUGUUUGGCGAACGACUUUUGUUCUAAAGACCAAAAGGGCACUUUUUUAAAAAGACUAAACAGGAAUUUUUUUUUUGUUCGAACAAUGAAAAAAAGUUUAUUUUUUUGAAAGUUUGUACGGUGAUUGCGAUGAAGUCGUAACAAGGUUGUUCUACGGGAACGUGGAGCAGGAAUGAUUUUUUUAAAUAUACAUUUUUUUAUAUUUUCUAUUUUUAAAUAUGAACAUUAUAGGAGACUUUUUUUGAUAUUAUAAAAUAUACAAAAAAAAGAAUCCUUACUAUAAUCUUUACAUUUUUUUAAAAGAAGAUUAUAGUACAAAAUUUUUUAUUU